CAGGACGAACGCUGGCGGCGUGCUUAACACAUGCAAGUCGAGCGGUAAGGCCCUUCGGGGUACACGAGCGGCGAACGGGUGAGUAACACGUGAGCAACCUGCCCCUGACUCCGGGAUAAGCGGUGGAAACGCCGUCUAAUACCGGAUACGACCCGCCACCUCAUGGUGGAGGGUGGAAAGUUUUUCGGUCAGGGAUGGGCUCGCGGCCUAUCAGCUUGUUGGUGGGGUAACGGCCUACCAAGGCGAUUACGGGUAGCCGGCCUGAGAGGGCGACCGGCCACACUGGGACUGAGACACGGCCCAGACUCCUGCGGGAGGCAGCAGUGGGGAAUAUUGCGCAAUGGGCGAAAGCCUGACGCAGCGACGCCGCGUGGGGGAUGACGGCCUUCGGGUUGUAAACCUCUUUUACCACCAACGCAGGCUCCAAGUUCUCUUCGGGUUGACGGUAGGUGGGGAAUAAGGACCGGCUAACUACGUGCCAGCAGCCGCGGUAAUACGUAGGGUCCGAGCGUUGUCCGGAAUUAUUGGGCGUAAAGAGCUCGUAGGCGGCGUGUCGCGUCUGCUGUGAAAGACCGGGGCUUAACUCCGGUUCUGCAGUGGAUACGGGCAUGCUAGAGGUAGGUAGGGGAGACUGGAAUUCCUGGUGUAGCGGUGAAAUGCGCAGAUAUCAGGAGGAACACCGGUGGCGAAGGCGGGUCUCUGGGCCUUACCUGACGCUGAGGAGCGAAAGCAUGGGGAGCGAACAGGAUUAGAUACCCUGGUAGUCCAUGCCGUAAACGUUGGGCGCUAGGUGUGGGGACUUUCCACGGUUUCCGCGCCGUAGCUAACGCAUUAAGCGCCCCGCCUGGNGAGUACGGCCGCAAGGCUAAAACUCAAAGGAAUUGACGGGGGCCCGCACAAGCGGCGGAGCAUGUUGC
rnacentral:rRNA from 1 species